rnacentral:rRNA from 1 species
GCUGAGACUUUAGCUUGCUAAAGUUGGAAGAGUUGCGAACGGGUGAGUAACGCGUAGGUAACCUGCCUACUAGCGGGGGAUAACUAUUGGAAACGAUAGCUAAUACCGCAUAACAGCAUUUAACCCAUGUUAGAUGCUUGAAAGGAGCAAUUGCUUCACUAGUAGAUGGACCUGCGUUGUAUUAGCUAGUUGGUGAGGUAACGGCUCACCAAGGCGACGAUACAUAGCCGACCUGAGAGGGUGAUCGGCCACACUGGGACUGAGACACGGCCCAGACUCCUACGGGAGGCAGCAGUAGGGAAUCUUCGGCAAUGGGGGCAACCCUGACCGAGCAACGCCGCGUGAGUGAAGAAGGUUUUCGGAUCGUAAAGCUCUGUUGUAAGAGAAGAACGUGUGUGAGAGUG